GCGGUAAUUCCAGCUCCAAUAGCGUAUAUUAAAGUUGUUGCAGUUAAAAAGCUCGUAGUUGAACUUUGGGCCCGGUUGGCCGGUCCGAUUUUUUCGUGUACUGGAUUUCCAACGGGGCCUUUCCUUCUGGCUAACCUUGAGUCCUUGUGGC
rnacentral:rRNA from 1 species